rnacentral:lncRNA from 1 species
UUUCCUUUCUGUUAAUCUGCUAUUGCAAUAUGGCUUUCAAAAGGAAGAUAUCAUUACUUAUCCCAACCCUGUUCGCCAUUUUCCUUUUCCUCUCCUCAGAUGUGGCAGCAAGGGAAUUGAAAGAGAGUGAGCUAUCUAUCCUUUUACGUACCUUCUUUUUUCAUUUGCAACUUUAAAGUAAGAGAUAAAGUAUAAAAUGUUAUCAAUAUGAUUUCUUUUAUCGUUCAAAUUUUAUAAACAACUACACAAAUUUUGCAAAGCAAACUACUACCUAUAUAUGCAUAUAAAAAAGUGUUCAAAUCAUAAAUUAAAUUAAGAGAGUUAAACUCCAAAUCAAUUUACCAGGUUUUUGUAAAGAUAAUUUUUUUAAUAGAUUUUUAACACACACACACAAAAACACACACACACACAUAUAUAUAUAUAUAUACAUAAAACAAAAUGACCAUUUGAAAGAGAUAAUUGGGUAGAAAAACACAUAUGUGUGCCUUUCUUAAUGUAUUUUUAUGUAAUAUCAUUAAAACAUUUUUCAAUAUACAAUAUGUUUACCAUAAAGGGUUUCUUAAUCUUUUUCAUUCGGUCAUAAGGAACUCUCCUUCUAACCUUUUUAUGUUUUAUAAAUAAUCAUGGUGGUGGCUUCCCAGUUUCUGGUCGCGAUCGUCGUGCGUUCUCUGGCGAUGGUGGCUUCUUGGGUGGUUCCUACGGUGGUGGUGGAUACUUUGGCCCCUACCGUGGUGGACCUGGACCUUUCGGUGGACCUUUCGGUGGACCUGGACCUUUCGGUGGACCUUUCGGUGGACCUGGACCUUUCGGUGGACCCUAUGGUGGUGGGUACGGUUUCCCCUACUAUGGAAGAUUUGGUUCCGGUGGAUUCGGUUCUGGUGAAUUUGGACCUGGUGGUGGAUUCAAUAACUUUCCUGGUGGUCGUGGUGGUAGUGGUGUUGGAUUCGGCAACUUUCCUGGUGUAGCCGGUGGGUUACCUAACAAUCCUGCUGGUGGAAGAUUGCCGUGAUAGGUAUUAUCAAUAUGGGGAUGUAGCGAGAGAGUUGAGAGAGUGCAAUUCUACGUACUUAAUAAUAUAUUUCAUCAAUAAAAUCUCUUGAUGUUAUGAGAGGCAUGGAUGGAAAGACAGCAAAGAUGCAUGCAUGCAUGCUUUGUCUCUUUUCUCCUCACCUUUCUUACCACAAGGAGAUAGGUUUCAGCAAUAGGUUUUUACUUUAUGCCUGUGAUCUUUGAUUAGUUUAAGAGCAUACUUAAAUAUCUGCUGUACAAAUAAGUUGUCUUCAAUCCUGAUUUUUUCUUCUGCUAUUACUAUCUAUCAUCAUCCUCUUUGCUGUUAAGUUUCUCCUUAAUUCACUCUGUUUAUCAUAUCAUUACAAUUUACAGCCAUGUGUAUUGAUUCAGAAAGCAGAUAAAUUAGAAAGCCUAAGCUUAAUCUAACAAGGUCAACGCUGCAGUAUUUAAUUUCCCCAUUAUGCCUAACUUAAAUGAAUAAGGACUAAAACAUCUUAGAUCAUGAAUAUUGUAUAAAUGUCAAGAAUAAUAUCAUAUAAAUUAAAAGUAUCCUUAAUGAACAAAAAAAUUAACAGGUAAAUAUUAAUCCUCAUUUUUAGUCUAUUCAAGACAUGCCAGAAAAAAGUAAUCAAUGUAUGAUUAGUUUGUUAAAAAGAAGAAGAAAAAGGAAGCUAAUAAUCGCUAAGGAACCAAUAUCACAUAAAAGAUUUAAAUUAUGUUUCGUAUGACAUUUUUUUUGUCAUUUUUAUUUUAAUUAUAAAGCAUUUUUUUAAUUAGAUUUUUUUAUUGAAAAUAAAUAAAUUAGAGUAUUAGAGGGAUAUUAAUAGAAUAAUUGUUUUUAAUUAGAAACUGUUUGAAGAUUUAUUAAUUUGAUUAACACUAAUUACCUCUUGAAUGAAAAUUAUUUUGACAAUAGUAAACAAAAAUAUGUAAAUUAAUUUAAUCAUAUUAAUUUUAAAGAUAAAAAAAUCUAUAAAAGUACACAAUAUAUACAUUUUGAUCUUCAACUUUUAAAAUGUCAAAAAUGAUUUUGAACUAAAAUAAAUAUUUUACAUAUAUUAAUUAUAUACUAUAUUAUUAUAGUUAAACAUAUCUAAUCACUAAUUACAAAAUAUAAAAUAUUUAAAAGUUUCUAAAUAGUUUUUCAGUGAAUUUUUUAAGAUAAUAAAAAAGUAAUUGAACAUAAUUCUACAACGUCAACAUAUAUGUAAAAUAAUAAAAAAUAUUUUAUAAAUACUUUUUUAUUAAAAUUUGAAACAUAAGUACAAUUUAAAGUCAACACUUUUAAGAGUUACAAAAUAAUUUAAUCAAUAAAAUAAAUAAAUCUGACUUACAAUUGUAUUAUAAUGUACAAUAUAACUCAAGAAAAUUAAGUUUGAAUUAAAUUAUUAAAUAUUUUUUAAAAAUUCUAUACUAUUAUUUGAUCAUAUUUUUAUAAAAUUAAAAACCAUUUAUUUAAAUAGAAUCAAAUAAUUUCAGUGUAUAUUAAAAGUAUUUUAAAGGUAGUGACAUUUGUGUACAAUUUAAGGUCUUUGUAUAGCAUUCAAAGGUAUUUCUUUCAAUGGUUUUUAAUUUAGAUUUAUGAAAGUUGAUUUUUAACCUAGAGGCAAGCUCAUAACACCUUAGAAUACCUUUGAUUAUAAACACACUUUGAUAGUUAUCUUUACACAAAAAGAGGAUAUCAUCUGCAAAUUGUAGCAUAGAUAAUUUUGUUCAACAAGGUGCUUUGAAGUCUUCAAAUACAAGAGGAAUGCUUGAAGACUUUGUUGCCAGUUUUGUGUGUGUGUCUAGUAGUCUUUGAAUUGUUAAUCCACGCUUUAGGAUGAUCCAAGGUUAAUUGAAUCUUAAUCCUUUUGAAAAAUAUGAGUUUUCUAAAGAGUGUGAAAUUUCAACCUGUUGAAAUGUCGAUUCAACCGAUUGUUUGACACUUAGUGGCUUUUAAAAUGAGUUUGAAAAGCUUGACUUUGUUUUCACUUUGUUGUCAAACUGAUUCAACCAGUUGUUUCAAGAAUUCAACUAGUUGUUUUUAUGGAAACCUUACCCAGGUGUAUUUUAUUCCUUUCUUCCUUGAGCAUUGUAUUUCUGUGUGUACUCGUGUGGUGCAAUUUCAGAAGGUGUUUUGGAAAUUGUAUUUUUUGCCAAAGAGUGGUGUGUGUUCUUGAGGGGUUCAAGAUCAUUACUCUUGGUGUGUGGUUUGUAAUAUAGGUUUGAUUACAUAGUGAAUUCUCAGUGGUUAGCUGAGGACUAGAUGUAGCUCUUAGUUAAGAGUGAACCAGUAUAAACAUCUUUUAUGAAUUUGUCUAUCCCUACACUCAUUAAACUGUUUUAACUUUGAUUUUUCAAAUAUGUUGGUAUAAACAACCGGUUGUUUCGUGAAAACAACAAGUUGAUUAUCUGGAAUCAAACUUAAAAUUAGUUUUCUAUUUGGCUUAAUAGAUUUUAAUUGAUUGAUUCUUCAUAGCCUUUCACUCUGCCUUCAAUACUUGCAAAAAUCUUUCAAAAACAAUUCACCCCUUUUUGUUUAAGGCUUCUAAUUCUAACAAAUUCAACCUUAAGCCUACCUACCUUCACACCAUUAAGCAAAUUCCUCUUAACAUCUUGUCUCACAAGUCCUACAAAGCCUUUAACUGCUGUGAGAAAAAAAAAAGGGGUGCAAAAGGGUCACCUUGCCUCAAUCCUAGAUUAAAUUAUGUUGUAGGGCUUCCAUUUGCUAACACUAUCACCGAUGCAGACACCAAACACCCUUUAAUCUAGUUGGUCUAUUUUUCAUGAAAUCUUAAUAUUUGUAGCAUAUCAAAUAAGAAAUCUCACCUGACUGAGUUAUAAGCCUUUUCAUAGUCCACUUUCAAGCAAACACCUCUCCUUCCUCUCCUCUUAAGACCCUUUAUAGCAUAUUGGCUAUCAAAACGCUAUCUAGCAUCCCUCUAUCCUUCAAGAAAGUAGAUUGAUUUUCAUCAAUAACCGAUGGUAGAACCUUCUUAAUUCUACUAGUUAACACCUUCGAGAUAAUCUUAUAUAAGGCCCCAACUUAGGAUAUUGGUCUAUAAUUUUCAAGCUUUAAGGGAUCACAUACUUUAGGCACAAGAGCAACGAAAGAUGCAUUAUAGCCUUAGGAAUACUACCUAUGUCUUGAAAGUGCCUGACCGCCAUUACUAUAUCCUCUUUAAAGACUUCCCAUCUAUUCUUUAUGAAAUUAAAAUUAAAACCAUCUUGUCCCGAAUUUUUUUGACCAUCACAUUACCACAUAACUUCCUUUACUUCUUUUGUAAUUUAUGAGAUUAGACUUAUAUUAUCCUCUUUAAAUAUAGAAUUAAACUCAACUGCUCCAAAUCUAAUCCCAUAGUCCUUUGUGACAGAGAAUCUAUGUUCAAACAGAUAUUUUGCUUUUGAUCUUACCUGUAUGUUCAAACAGAUUUUUUGCAUUUGUUUAUUGCUAAUAUAGUAUAUAUUUUAUUAUAUAAAUAAAUAUAUAAUUAUAUUUUAAUUGAAAAAUAAAUAUACUAAGUUUAUUAAUAUUUUUAUUUUUAAAGUAAUUAUAAUCAUAAAUAUAAAUUAAAAAUUAACGCGUAUAUUUAUGUAAUUAUUUAAAUAUUUAUUGUUACCCAUUUUGUCUCUCUAAAUUAUUUUAGAGACACGAGUUGUUAAUCCCAUUAUUUUAAAAGUUAAAUAAUUAAAUGAUAUAUUUAUUAACUUUAUUGGUAGAUUAAUUAUUUUAAUUACAAUUUUCAGUUUUUAUUUUUAUGUUUUUCAUAUGAUAUAUAUUGCACUAAUAAUUUUAUUUUAUAUCGCAAGUUAUUUUCAAUUAAGUUUAAAAUUAAUUAUAAAUAAUAUAUAAUUAAAUAUAUAUGAAAUAUUUGUUAUAUUAAUUACAAUAUUCAAAAUAAGUUGAUAAAUAUAAAAAUACACAAAAAUAAUGAUAGGAAAUAUAUUAUUAUUAAUUUUUUAAAGUAUAAUAUUUAAGUAAUAAAAUAAAUAUUAAAAAUAAUAUUAUUUAUAAAGUAAAAGUAUAGUAUAAAAUAAUUUUAAAAACAGAAAAAUUGAAUAAACAAAUAUGAGAUUUUUUUUUAUGUUAGACAUAUAAGAACAAUUUUUUUAAUGUUAUACAUUGAAUAACAAUUUUUAUAUGCAACAUCACAUUCUAUGAAUGUUGUAAAGUAAAAAAAAAAACAUUUCCUAUUGAUUCUGGGGAAUGAUUUUAAAAUGUGGCAUACAAAUUUGAAAGAUAUUUUACACUAGCAUAUGAGAGGAAUUUUUUCUUUGUACAUAAUUAACAUAAUUAAGCACAAUUAAGGCUUAAGUGUGCUAGGAAAUUUCUCCACUCUGUCCAUAUCUUGAUGCUUACAAUACUUAUUUUUUUUAUAAAAAAUAAAAUAAAAUAAAAUAAAAAUAUUUUAAAAAUAUUUUUUUUCAGCAAUUAAUAAAUUAAAUGGUUGUUCUGUUCUAAUCCAUAAGGGAAGUAACCUUGUGAUUAUGUAUAUAGGGUGGAUACCCAUGAAAUAUCCUGUUAAUUUAAUUUAUUAAUUGCUAAAAAAAAAACCUUAUACAUAACAUCAUUUCAAUAUAUCAACACCUCAAAGACUAAAAAAAAAUCUUACAAUCCCCCAAAAAUACUACCAAAAUUAAUUCUAAUACUUUCACAUAAAUAAAAACUAAACUCUGUAUAAAAAAGUCAAGAUUUCAUAAGAUACAUAAAAUAAGACUUUUCUCCAUAUUGAUAUAUGUAUCUUUCUAUUCCAAUCCAAAUUUUAUUCAACCUCUUUCCAAGUUUUACUGUAUUCCUAAUAUCAAGAAAUUCAACAAACUCAAACCUCUGUUCUUUCAAAUUGAGACUCCUUCAGAUGAACACUUCUUGGAUUCUUUCUUCAACAUCUCCUUUUCAUUGAAGUUUCUGGAAAAUGUCAAAAGAAGAUGUGAAAAGACGAAUGAUGUUUCGCAUUUUGCCCAUAUUCCUCGCUCUCGUUGGUACCCCAAACCAAAAUUGUGUUCCUUAACAGCUCAUACUAUCACUGUAAAUAGCUAAGGCUUUCUCUUUCUUUUGAGCUUUAUUUGUUUUCAUAUAGAUGUACUGUUCCCAAGGAAAGAAGUGAGAGGAUAUCAAUGGUUUGGAUCAGAGUUUUGCAGGAAAGAGGAGGAGAGAAUAUACUUGUGAACAGUAAAUAUCCUCUCCCUCAAAAUGAAGAGAUGUAGAGGGAAAGCCACAUCAGCAUAUGCUAUUUACGAAUUUACCCUCAUUCAUUUACAAGGAUUUUUAAUAUUAAAAAACAGUAUUUUUUUAUUUAUAUAAGAUGUGAUUUUUUUUCUUCUAAUUUUAUAGUAUAUAUUUAAUAUUUUAAUAAAUUAUUUGAAGUUUUUUUUAUUUAAUUUGUUGUGCGUUUAUAUUAAUAUAUUUUUUAUAAUUAUUAUGUUUUAAUUUAUUUGAUAAUAGUUUUUUAUGAAAUUAUUUUCUAUUGUUAAUUACGUUAUAUUUUUUUUAUUACUAUAUGGCUUUUAAUAAUAAAAAAUACUAUCUUUUAUUUAUAUAAGAUCUGAUUUAUUUUUUAAUUUAUUUUUUAAUUUUAUAAUGCAUGUUCAAUAUUUUAAGAAAUUAUUUGAAGUUUUAUUUUUAUUUAAUUUGUUGAAUACAUUUUUUUUCUAAUUAUAAUUUUUAAAUUAUAUAUACUUAUAGUUAAUAUAUAUUUAUUUUCUAAUUUUAACUUUUAAAUCUACGAAAUAUGGGAAAGUUGUUUAUUUCUAAACAAAAAUAACUCAUUUCAUUAUUAAAAAAAUUUAAUAGGCAUGGAUAAAUUUGUAAAGUAACAUUUAACACUUUAAAAAAAAAUAAAAUCUCUCACAACCAUCAUAUUACUCACAAACUCCCAUAAACUUUCCUCACACAUCCACCCUAAAAUACCCCAAUCCAAACAACCUCACUUUCUUCACACUUUCUUCUCACAUCCUCAUAUAUCCACUCCCUCAAAUCCUCACACACACUUAUUUGCUUCAAUGAAUGUACUGUUCAAAGAGGAAGGAUGUGAGUGGAUAUCCAUGGUUUGGAUCAAGGGAUGUGCAGGGAAGUGAAAGAUGUGAACAGUAAAUAUUCUCUCCCCUCAAAAUGAAGAGAUGUAGAGGGAAAACCAUGUCAGCAUCCCUUAUUUCCAAAUUUACCCUCAUUUGAAUGUAUCACAAUGCUUCAUUUGAAUGUACAAUGUUUAAAAUAUAUAUAACAAAAACAUUUUAUAGUAUAUGUUUAAUAUUUAAAGAAAUUAUUCGAAAUUCUGUUUUUAUUUUUAUUUUUGUUAUGUUUUUAUUUUCUAAUUAUAGUUUUAAUAUUAUACUUAUUUACAUUUAACAUAUAUUUUUUUUUAAUUAUAAUUUUUAAAUCUACUCAAUGUGUGAAAGUUUUUCAUAUUUAAACAAAAACAACUCAUUUUAUUAUUAAUUUUUUUAAUAGGCAAGGAUUAAUCUGUAAAGUAACAUUUCACACUUUUAAAAAAAAUUAAAAUUCCCUCAUAACCAUCACAUCACUCACAAACUCCCAUAAACUUUCCUCACACAUCCAUCCUAACAUACCCCAAUCCAAACACCCUUAUUUUUUUCACACUUUCCUCACACAUCCUCACACAUCCACUCCCUCAAAUCCUCACACAUCUCCUCCCUAAUCCAAACAGAGCCUUAGAGAGAGAUCAAAGAUGGAAAGUGUUUGGAUAUAGACUUAAAUUUCAAAAAUAUUAUUUUUUAUUUUAGAAAUUAUAUAUAAUCACAGUUUUUUGGAUUGUUUGAUUAAAAAAAUGUAUAGAUCAAUAAUAAAAUCAUUUGUGAAAAAAAAAUGUUACAAAACAAGAAAAUAUUAUAAUGGAGUAUGUAUUAUAAAAUCGGACAUCACAGAGUAUAUGGAACCAAAUUUCUCACCAUCACUAAUAGAUAGUAGUGCAAUAAUAUAUUGUCACAAAUUUGUUAUUUUAUCACAAAUAAAUACAUAUUUGUUUAAUAAAAACAUUUUUCUUUCAUAAAUUCUGACAGGGAAUUUCAUAACAAAACUAGAAAGUCACUUAAAACAAGAUAUAAUACUCUUUUUAAGUGAGAAAGAGAGCAUAAAUAAGAAAACAUGUGCUUUAAAUGAUUUACGUACAGAGAUCUCUACUAAUUAUUUUACUUAAACUUUCCGAUUUAAAUGAGAGAAUAACUACCAUGUAUAAUUUUAUCGAAUUUUAUUUAUACUAUAAUAUAUGUUAAAUAUUUAUAAAAUAUCACAACGUUUUUAUUUAUAUAAUUCUUGACUUAAUAUAGAAUGAAUUAAUAACAAUAAUACAAAUAAGUACUAAAGGAAACAUAGAAAAAUAGAGAAAUUUUAUUUUUAUUAGAAGAAAUUGUUCUAGCUAAGAGAGAUGUCUCUCAAGCACAUCGUGUAAUGGAGGUUGGUUAAAUUUUGAGGGGGCUCGAUCUGCAGAAGAUACUCUGAUACUCAAGUCAGUAAGAUCAUCAAAUAUAAUGAGUAUAAUAUAAAAUAUGAGUUGAAAGUACUCCCUGUGUUAUGUAUUAGAUAAUUCUUUCUGUAGAGCGUAAUCUGGUAUAUAUAGACCGAGUUGUAACCUUCUCGUCUUUACCCAUGAUUCUGUCUUAAUUGAGUGAUUAAGGCUAAUUAAUUGAGAUUCCUUGACUUGUACUUUCUCAUAAUGUUAGAUACACAGAUCGAAAAACGACACAUAAAUGACCAACCAUCGGACCAGACCCAUGACCUUACACAUGUCCCCAACCUCAUACGUAUACCAAUGAGGUUAUGGUGAGUUGAAUGUCAAAAAAUGAACCAUUUAUUAUAUUCCAUUGAAUUAUAGGCCCAUAGCCAUAUAGAAAUAUAUGUACAUUCAAAAUAGAAUAAAACAAAAUAAUGAUACAAAAGAAAAUAAAAAAUAUAUACAUUAACAUGUUUCUAAUCCCUAGGUAAAUUUCUUUAAAAAUAUUUUUGACUUAAAGAAAAUUUUUAUAUUCUCAGAAGGUGUUCGAAGUUUUUAUUUAUUUUACUCUUUGCUAUAUAUAUAAAAAAAAAGACCUUAAUGUUCUAUAACGCCAAUAAUUAAUUAUUACGGUUAAACCAUCGACCUAGCUACGUUUUUGCAAACAGUUGGUAAGUUUUGGUAUUUUAAUGUGAGUAAAAGUCUUUAAUAAUCCGAUAAAAUAAUGGUAGAGAAAAUAUUUAAAAUUCACUUUCUCCACAAAAUCAAGGAACUAGAUCUAAGAGAUGAAUAAAGUGGGCUAAAUGAAGAACAAAGGAAAAAGAGAAGAAAUAGCUAAAACAAAUCAGUUUUAAAUGAGGUAUUAUAAAAGAAAAAAUCAAAAUGGAUGACACUGGGAGAAUCAAAUAUAUCACCAUUGGACAAGAUUGAAAAAUGACAUAAAGGUAUAAAUAUAAGAAAAAUGAUAAUUUGAUAAUUCUUAGAGUUGUACAAUUUUUAAUGUAAUAAGUUUAAAAAUAAAUAUAAAUAAUAAAGAGUAAAUUUGUGAUAUAAAAAAUUUGAAAAAUAACAUGAGAGAAUUUGAAAAAUAACAUGAAUGUCAUUAAUAAAAGAAUUGUGGGAGCAUAAAUAUAACGUAAUAUACUAGGUGCAAUGACAGAUGGGGUGAAAAUAUUUGCUUAGUUAAAAGCUUAGACAUAGGUUAUAGAUUUAGAGAAUAUAACAAAGUUUUCAUAAACACAAUAGUGUAUAUGUCCAAGAACAUGCAUCACUAGGACACACAAAAAUAAAUAAGACACACAAAAAUAAAGGUUAAUAUGUAUAACAAAGGUGUUUCUCUAUUCUUCCAUGCUUAUAUACGCAAAAUAUUGUAUGUCAUUGCAUAUUCGGAUCAAUGUGAUUUUCUCUUAAUGCUAGUAGUGUUAACACCCUUUGGAUUAUGUAGUAAUCCCAUAAAUUGAGUCUUUCCCAUAAAUUUCUUUAACUUAAAAUUAGCUCACAUCCCGAAACCACAAGCUAAUUAAAUAUAUACAUAUCCAUGGAAAGAUCAUCUCUUCACAUAUCUAUCGGUUGCAUGAAUAAUCUGCAGUUGAUGCUUGAAUAGCAUGGAAUGUAAUUCUAAAUCCAAAUGUGAUUAAAUUUUAAAGCAAACAUUCAUGCUUGAAUUUAAAAAAAGAAAAUAUUUUGAGAAGUUAUGGUUUAUUCAGACCCAGUUUAGAAUUACAUCCCACUGAGAAUCUAAGAAGCCUCAACACGGAAAUUAAGAAGUCAUAAGCUAUUCUAAAAUUACGUUCAACACAGAAAUCUAAAAUUAAGUUCAACAUGCAAAUCCAGGUCUAAUAAAGAAAAACACAAUGUAAUAAAGCUACCAGAAUGGGAAAUGGUUCCAAUUGAGCUAGGGCUUUUUAGGCUUCUUUUUCUUGGAAGAUGAGCUGCAAUUUUUUGCUCCACCAACCCUCUUUCGCACUUCAUCUUUUUUCUUCUCCCUCAUGUAGGGAUUCCCUGCUUCAAUUGGAGUUGAAUCAGCUGGGUUUCUGUUCGUCCCACAAAAGCUUUCAGAGAUAUUGUUGUUCAGGGACACUGGAGUUUCACGAGUAUGACCACAAUGUUGUGUUGAAGUUUCUUCUUGAUCAAGCAGGUCACAAGGAGAAGGGCCAUUGAAGUUCCCACCAAAGAUUGCUGGAGCAUGUGAUUUUCCAGACAACUUACCUUUCAGGGAACCAUAGGUCUGAGAUGAACCAAUUAUAUCCAUUUUAGUGUUUGAAGAUUUACCUGGAUUAAGCUUAAGCUUCUGGAGAAUUGGAUCACUGCCUCCUGUGGCAACACUCAAGUCCAUAGAUACUCCACGACCAAUCUUUCCAUUUAGCAUCUCUCGGUCAGUGGAAUGAUCAAAAUUCAUUUCCUUCAACUGAUCAGUCUGUGACUCAGGUUCUACAUUUGACAUAUUAUUUUGAGAUAUUUCUAGUAACGCCUCUAAAGCCACGAGUUCGUUAUCUGCCCUAGUGGCGCCAUCAAUUUCCUACAAGAAGAUGGUGUUGGAAUAUCAGAAGUAAUUCUUUUUCCUUGUUCCAGAUAUACAAAAAUGAUCACUUACUAAAAUAAUAAUAAGUAAAUAAAAAAAAAGAAUAAAACAGAAUAAUCACACAAAUAUGUUUUAACGUUGAAAAACAUUUUUAACUUCAAAAAUAAAAAUUCAAAUACUCAAUUUAAAAAAUAGCUCUACUAUAAAAACAAGAUUACGAUAUUUAUUUUUAAUAAUAAAAUAAGUAAAAAAUGUUACUUAAAUAAAAGUGACAACAAACAUAUUUUAAAUAAAAAGUAUUAACUAAAUGAUGUAGAGAAACUAUCAGUUAUCCUGUGAAGGAACACAUGCAUAUGAUAAUAUAAUGUAACAGAUUAUUUACGAUAGAAUGGUGAAAAGAAAUAGAGUUUUUUUAAUAUAAGAUUUAAGUAUAAUACUAACAUUACCGGGACACUAUUAAAUAUGAUAUUGUGGAUGCUGUGCAAUUCUUCCAUGAAACAAGUCGUUUUUUUAUGGAUUGUAAUGCAUCCUUCAUAGUUUUGGUUUCUCCUUUAUGGAUUGUAAUGCAUCCUUCAUAGUUUUGGUUUCGAAAGUGAGAGAUCCCUCUAAUCUUGAUCAAUACAUACUAUCUUUCUAGUGGGCUCUCUGUACAAUAUCAUUUUUAAGGUGUUAUCUUGUCGUAUUAACAAGGUGCUCCUUACAGUUCUUGAUGAAAGCCAGUUCUUGAUGAAAGCCAAUCAACCUUUCUGAAGGAUAGAGGGAUGUUAGAUAAUGUUCUUGUGUCUAAUGAGGUUAUUGAGGACAUAAGAAGGUAUAUGAGGAGUGGUUUAUGCUUGAACGUGGAUUAUGAAAAGGCGUAUGAUUCGGUAAGUUGGGAUUUUCUACUUGAUAUGUUACAUAGGCCAAGUUUUCAUAAUAGAUGGAUUAAGUGGAAAAGAGGUUGGUUGGAGUUUGCGACCGUGUCAGUUCUAGUUAAUGGAAGUCCUAUGGAGGAAUUUAGAUCAUCGAGAGGGUUGAUACAGGGAGACCCCUUAGCCCCAUUUCUCUUUAUUGUUGUUGCUUAAUGCUUGGCAGGGCUAGUUAGACAAGCAGUCAAGGCCAACGUGCUUGGAGGUGUGAAGGUGGUGGAGAGGAAUGAGGUGGAAGUUUGCGUGUUACAAUUUGCUGAUGAUACCUUGUUUAUGUGUGGAGAUUCCUUCUCUAAUGUGUUCACGUUAAAAGCUAUCUUAAGGUGUUUCAAGCUAGUCUCUGGUUUGAAGCCUAACUUCCAUAAUUCUAAGUUGGCAGGCAUAAAUGUUGAUAGAAAUUCCCUUGAAGUUUAUGCAAAAUCUAUAAACUGCUCUCUAAUUAGGAUUCCUUUUAAAUACUUGGGGUUAGAAGUAGGAGGUAACCCAAGGAAGAAGCAGUUUUGGGAGUAAAUUUUGAGCAAAAUUAGUGUUGGACUUAAUGCUUGGAAGGGGAGAUUCUUAUCGUUGGCGGGAAGAAUAUGUUGAAUCAAAUCAAUUUUUACAGCUCUACCCCUUUUCUACUUUUUUUUUGGUCGGCAAAGAAUAAAAUAAAUUAAAGGGGACACUUCAGGGGUGACCCAACCCUUAUACAAAAACCAUCAUUUUACCCCUUUUCUACUUAUCCUUCUUUAAAGCUCUAAGUUAGUUUGUAAUAGAAUCAUCAGUAUCCAAGAAGGUUCCUAUAAGGAUAAUAGGUCAAUCUCUUGGGUAAGGUGGUAGAACUUGGGCAAACCAGUGGAGGAAGGCGGAUUGGGAAUUAAAGAUAUUAGAAAGUUCAAUGGAGCCCUUAUAGCAAAAUGGAAGUGGUGCCUGAUGGGUAAAAGGGAUGUGGAAAGAAAUUCUAGUAUCUAAAUAUGGCUUGGAUUCAGGUCGUAGCCAACCUCUUCUGAAAUGCCAAUCGUGGUGGUGGAAAGACUUAUCUAAAGUAUGUAACAAGGGGAAAGGAGAUGAGUGGUUCCAAGAAGCAUUGGAAUAGAAAGUUGGAUGUGGAGACAAAGUUAGAUUUUGUGGAGACGUAUGGGUUAGUAGAAAUAGUUUGAGUACUCCGUAUCCUAGGUUGUAAUCUCUAUCUGUGGAUCAGGGGUUGAUGGUGAGCGAGGUAGGUGAAUGGGAAGACUCAGUAUGACAUUGACGAUUAAAGUGGAGGAAGGCCAAAUUUGAAUGGAAAUAUGUGCAAGAAGAAGAAAUGUUCAGGUUUAUAUCUAGGGGUUCUCUAAUUAGGGAGGCAAAGGACGUGCUAGUGGAAAUGGGAUGCUAUAAGAGAAUUCUCCGUGAAAUCAGCUUAUGAGUGCUUGGCUAAUUUCUACAUAGACCCUCUAAAUGGGGUGUUUAAAUAGUUGUGACAAACCAAAGUAAUGCCCAAGGUCUUGACUACUUCCUGGAGG